ensembl:misc_RNA
UUGGAAACAAAGUCCUUCAUUUAUCCACAGGAGAAGUAUAACAUGGUGAUCCAUGUUGUUACUGGCCAUACACUGGUCAACCAAUGUGUCUUAACUCUGACUUGCCAGGGCCACCUUAGACAAGAUUAUUUCAGUCCCUGAAGAUGUAAGUGAAGGCAUCAAACCCAUUCACUUGAAACU